GGGGCUGAUUCUGGAUUCGACGGGAUAUUUCGGACGCGGGUUCAACUCCCGCCAGCUCC
rnacentral:rRNA from 1 species